rnacentral:rRNA from 1 species
UACGAAGGGGGCUAGCGUUGCUCGGAAUCACUGGGCGUAAAGGGUGCGUAGGCGGGUCUUUAAGUCAGGGGUGAAAUCCUGGAGCUCAACUCCAGAACUGCCUUUGAUACUGAGGAUCUUGAGUGCGGGAGAGGCGAGUGGAAUUCCCAGUGUAGAGGUGAAAUUCGUAGAUAUUGGGAAGAACACCAGUGGCGAAGGCGGCUCACUGGCUCGUAACUGACGCUCAGGCGCGACAGCGUGGGGAUCAAACAGG